rnacentral:misc_RNA from 1 species
GAUGAAGAACGCAGCGAAAUGCGAUACUUGGUGUGAAUUGCAGAAUCCCGUGAACCAUCGAGUCUUUGAACGCAAGUUGCGCCUCAAGCCAUUAGGUUGAGGGCACGUCUGCCUGGGCGUCACAUAUCGUUGCCUGAUGCCAGUUUCCUCGUGAUGGGUGACUGUGCAGGGCGAAUGAUGGCUUCCCGUGAGCAUUGUUGCCUCAUGGUUGGUUGAAAAUUGAGUCCUUGGUAGGGAGCGCCGUGAUAGAUGGUGGUUGAGUGACGAACGAGACCCAAUCAUGUGAGACCCCUACCGAAUUUGGCCUUCAUGACCCACAUGCGUCUUUGGAACGCUCAUGACGAGACCUCAGGUCAGGCGGGGCUACCAGCUGAGUUUAAGCAUAUCAAUAAGCGGAGGA